GGUGGGGAGGGGCGGGAGAGCGAGAGAAAACGGACUCAAAGGGAAGAGAAUGAACAGGAGAGACAAGAGAGGGUAGAGACCCUCGGCUCAUACGCUGGGUCCAGAUAAGCUCUUUACACCACAGGCAAUGAAUGCCUGGUGCAGAAGGAAGCUUUGGGACUUGGGGUCAAUUCUGUGUUCCAGUUCUGCACCACUUCUCUCUGCUGCGUGGUUACCAUAAUGCUAGUUACCACCUCUGAGUUCACACUGACCACCUGUUGUAAGGGUCCAUGAUUCACUGAAGAAUGAUACCCCUGACUCGAAUAGUAUGUAAACACAAAGAGUGUUUUAUUCUGCAGAAGUCCAGCAUGCUGGGGUCUCCCAUUACUAAGAUAGAAACAACUUUGCAGUACCGAUUUAAAACACAUUAGGGGGAUUCUGGGGUCCAGAACUGUUACCAGGAUGUAGGGCCUGGAAACUGUUGCCAAGAAAUCCCGGAACAGCAGUGAAGUCUUGAAGAAGAGGAUUUGAAGCAAGAAAGAUCCGAGUUAGAUAUCAGAUGUACCUUAUGGCUGGCUUAAUGAAUGACCACUGGGAAAGAGGGGAAAGGAAAGAAGAGAAAUAGCCUGACACCCCCCACAUACACAUGAAAGGAAGGAAGGAAGGAAGGAAGGAGGGAGGGAAGGAAGGAAGAAGGGGGAAGAGAAAGGGGGAAGAGGGAAGAGGGAAAGGGAAGGAAGAAAUUCCGUGGUUCUGCAGUGACUAUCUACUGAGUCUGGAUACUGUCCCCGUGAGUGGCUAAGCCACUUGCCACCCACUUGUUCCUGGUCAAGGACUGUCUAUAAAGUCAACAGCCACCCGUUCCUCGUCCUCUUAUACAAGGGUCUUUGCUAUGUAGCUCCUGUUAGAGUCGAGGCUCACUCCCCAGACCCCAAAACUGCAGGAGACACAUGGUCUUGCUUUCCUCAGUGUGGUAUGUCAGGUGGGGUGUUGUUUUGAUUUGUAGGCAAAGCUUUGAAGAAGGAAACUUCAGUAAAUUUUAGAAGUAAAGUCUAGGUUUUUUUUGGGCUUUUCUCUCUACAAGUCACCUUGAAAAAUGACACGAAAACUUACUUGGGGCAGUCUCACUGAGGAUGAGACUCCAAGAACAGAACUGUAAGGCCACUGCAAGAGGAAAGCCAUCCUGGACGACCUAGCCCCAGCUUGGCUAUAACACAACCAUUGUUGGGCUGGCCCCAGCUAGACCAGCAGAAGUGCCCACAUGGGAAUCCGCCAUGAAUACUCAGGACUGAAGGCCAGAACUUACUUCUUCCUCUUUGAUGAAAGAACCAGCUUUUAAUGUAAUGUGGUCUGAGGAAAAGAUUUCAGUGAAUGACCCUGUUUGUCUAUAUUGACUGUUGGUAUUCUGUCUAAGCUCCACCCCCACAGUUGCCUGGCAACAGCUAUGGGUGCCUGACUAUAAAGGGAGCUGCUUCCUCCCUCCUCUACCUCUUACUCCUCUCUAACCCCUUACUCUUCACUGCUCUUGUGCCCUCUUUGUCCCUGUUCCUUCUCUCCCCAUCUCCCCUCCCCCUUCUAUUCCCCCCAUGUGCCCAUGUCUGGCCUUUCCUCUCUCCUACUCUUCUUCUCUCAUUAAACCUUUCCACAUGGAACCAUGUUGGCUUGGUGUACAUUGUCCAGGUGCGGGCAGAGAUUUUCUACCCCAACACUGACUAUGGUGCUGUGGGGCGAGCCCAACAUAGUCCCUUGACUGAAGAACAGAGAAAACCCAAGACUUACUCCCAACCAACAACUGGCAGAGGUCUGGAGCCAUGACAAAGAUUAGGGGUUAUGGCAGGGGACAGAAGCUAUGAUGUCUGCGAUUGGCCCAUACUCCAUGGCUUCACAUGAGUCCAGACUAUGUGUGUAACAUCAGAAUGCAUGUCUGUAACCUACCAAAGGCCACUAUACCAGACAGACCUAGAGAGUAAAGGUUUCAGGGAGAUGUCUGUGGAAUGCACACACUAAAUGGGGGUUGAUUUACUGUCAGUCAGCCUGGAACGAUCACAGGUCCCACAGAGCUGUCACUACAGAGCAUGCCAGAGUGCUGGCUUAUGCAGGUCAAGUGGCCUUGAGGGAGGGGCUUUCUUUAGGACGAAUGAUUCCCCCCUUGAAAGCCACUGACGGAGAUCAGUAAAAGGCAGAGAAGGUACCCACACCAAGGCAAUGAGAAUAAAAACCAUGCACAGGGGGGCUGGGGAUUUAGCUCAGUGGUAGAGCGCUUGCCUAGGAAGCGCAAGGCCCUGGGUUCAGUCCCCAGCUCCGAAAAAAAGAACCAAAAAAAAAAAAAAUGCACGGAAACACGGGUCUUCAGAGAGCUCAGAAGUCAACAAGCAUGGAUACCUAUAACUCAGCCUUACGAAAGCCACAUGCCUCCCAUCCCACAGUGAGUAGCCAGUGGGGAAGGGGCGUUCUCAGUAAGUCCCUCAGAAACACAAAGGACACAGCCAACUAACAAAAUGAAGGUCCAGACCAAAGCUACCUCCUGGGCUGCAGGUGUGCAGAGCCUUGCUCAGACAACUGCAAAAAGUUGUUUGUCUUUUUUAAAAGUGAUACAAACGACCAUUGUUUUCAGACAAGUAAGGAACUGUUCCCAGAGUUUACUCUCUUUCUUUGUCACCCUCUAUUUUGUUGGAGACUAUAUCCUUUCUUUCUUAAAAGAAGAAAAAAGUAACAUUUAAAAUGUAUUCUUUGAAAGUCUUCUAUAUGUAUCUAAAGCAUCACAAUCCUAUAUACUCCCCCCUUCCAGCCCUCAACACAUCUUCCCAGCUUCAUCUCCUUCUGAAAGAAAGAAAGGAAAAAGGAAGGAAGGAAGGAAGGAAGGGAGGGAGGGAGGAAGGAAGGAAAGAAGGAAGAAAAGAAAGAAAGAAAGAAAGAAACAAACAAACAAACCACUGAAAUUAUUAGCAAAUGAGUUAGGGUCAUCCCCUGGGUUAUGACCAACCCUACCAAUAGCCACACCCUCCCUUGGAGCCCCUGCCCCUCUUGAUCUUGUGCGGGUCUUUAGGUCACCAAGUGUGGUGGCUUGAACGAGAAAUGUCCCAGGCAUUGUCUUAGGCAUUGGAGCACACGGUCCCCAGUUGGUGGUGCUGUUUCAGGAAGGUUUAGGUGGGGGGAAAGCAGACUACUGGGAGGCGGCUUUGAGAUUACAGCCACUUUUAAUUUGCCUUCUGCUUUGUGACUGCAGCCAAGGAUGUAAGCUCUCAGCUUUCUGCUUCUGCCCUCUGUGCCGGCGCUAUCUAUACCAUUAUGGACACUAAGCCUUUAGAACUGUGAGCACAUCGAUAAGUAAGUAAAUAAUUGGUCGAGGUGUUUUAGCACAGCAACGGGAAUGCAACUAAGAUGUAUAUAUAUAUCUGUUGCAAGCUCCUGGGCAAAGACCAUGUCCUGCCCAGCAGACAGCGGUCCACAGCGCCGCUCCUCCUCAUCUUCCGGCCCUGGAUCCAGGAGCUUGGGACUGAGGAGAGGCCGCUUGGCUCGUUCCCAGAUGAUUAAAAGAAGACAUGAAGACCACAGUUCAGCUGCUAUAGCGGGAACCCAGCUGUUAACCAGGGCCAAGGAGAGAGCUCUCCUGCAGAGGAGCUAGCCUGGGAAUGGCGCUCUGUGCAGAGACCAGCCCCUGUGGGCCACAACCAGUGAGUCUGGAAAAAGGAGGACGUGGUGGGUGCUAUGCAGGGACCCCAGCACAGCCUAGCACAUAUAUCACUCCCUAUCCAAGAUGGGAAGCACGGAGGGUUCUCAGUCGUGUGACUAAUCUCCAUUAUUUCAAACGGGUUCCUUUGCUCGGGACCAAGAAAGGCAUGGAGUAACUGCUGAGAUAAACAGCCCUAGGAGGACCAGGGGCUGCCUUGCAGAGACGGACACGGUAGGUACUGAGCUCAGCUCUGUCAUCAAGACAGAACCUAUAGUAAGUGGGGGCAGCCGGAAACACAAAGAGAGGCACCAGGCAGGUAACCGAGCCUGCUUACAGCUCCCACCUUCUCCCCCAGCA